UCUGGGGCAGGUCCUGCCGUGUGGCCACAGUCCGUCCACACCCCGGUUCCCGUGCUGGGAAAGGACGGUGGGAACAGGGUGGCUCCAAGGACGUGAGCCCCCCGAUCUGAGCGCCUGAUGAGCGUCUACGUUGCCAACGAGGGGCUGGCUGCUGGCACACUCGCCCGCUUACCCUUAGGAAACAUGAAACCAGCCAUCUAUUCUUCCCAGUGGCUCAUGCUGCUUCAUCCUCAAAGGAGGAAGCCAAUCAUUACCUGUCACACAUCAAAUAGCUCCCCAUUAGCCCCGAGCGUUGUGCUAAAGCCACCUCCCGCUCUCUACUCCUGGAAGACAGACCGUCUGGCAAACACGCCCCGAGGCUAUUGUGUGCCGUUUCUGCUCGUUGGCGAGAAUACACCUAGAUGGUGGAAAAUUGAUUCAAAGGCGAUGAGACAAAGGGGCACCCCUUUCAAGGAUCAGCGAGGGGGACGGCGAGGGGGACAGGAAGAGAUUAAAAGCGACGGUUUCCAAUGAGGACAAUUUAUUUCCUGGAGAGGAACGGCUAGGCACAAAGCACCAUGAAGGAAAGGAGCCCGUGUACCCUCUGUCAAAAGCAUCCUCUUCCAGAGAACUCUGGUAACAGCGCACAGACGUUAAAGAAUUCAUCACUAAGAACGUAUUUGUGAAAUGCUAAGGAAAAGAAAGUUUAAAAACCAUGCUUCUCGGAUCACAGCUGUGUUCCUUGUAAGAAAUGGAUCACUCAGCCCCUACUAAUAAAAGUUGUAACUUU